rnacentral:tRNA from 1 species
GCGAUCAUGGCGGAAUUGGUAGACGCACUACCUUGAGGUGGUAGCGGGGUGACCCGUGGAAGUUCGAGUCUUCUUGAUCGCACCA